UUUUUCUAGAGAAUGACGAUUUUAUAGUGGUUAGUAAACCAAUUUAGGGAGUAUUACGAAGUUUUACUAAAUUAAUUGACAUAAAAUUUAAACGAUGUCCAUGUACCAUGAAAGAGAGUUUAACAUACAUUAAUACAAAUGUAGAAUGUGUUUAGAAAUUUUAAAACAACACUAAAGAUCAUAGGCUUCAGAAUAUAGAGCAUUUACCGAAAAAUUCAAUAUUAUUGUAGGGGUUAAUCCAUAGAUUUUGAGGAAAAUUCAAAAAAAUAAAAAUUCUAUUUUAAUGCAUAGUUGCAUCCUUUACUUACAUAUGAUGAAGGUCAAAGAGGUUUGGAACCUUGGUUGUCUCCGUUAUUCUAGAGAAUAGCGAUUUUAUAGUGGUUAGUCAACCAAUUUAGGGAGUAUUAUGAAGUUUUACUAAACUAAUUAACAAAAA